rnacentral:rRNA from 1 species
AUUGAACGCUGGCGGCAUGCCUUACACAUGCAAGUCGAACGGCAGCGGGGGAGAAGCUUGCUUUUCCUGCCGGCGAGUGGCGAACGGGUGAGUAAUACAUCGGAACGUGCCCUGUAGUGGGGGAUAACUAGUCGAAAGAUUAGCUAGUACCGCAUACGACCUGAGGGUGAAAGUGGGGGACCGCAAGGCCUCAUGCUAUAGGAGCGGCCGAUGUCUGAUUAGCUAGUUGGUGGGGUAAAGGCCUACAAAGGCGACGAUCAGUAGCUGGUCUGAGAGGACGAUCAGCCACACUGGGACUGAGACACGGCCCAGACUCCUACGGGAGGCAGCAGUGGGGAAUUUUGGACAAUGGUCGAAAGCCUGAUCCAGCAAUGCCGCGUGUGUGAAGAAGGCCUUCGGGUUGUAAAGCACUUUUGUCCGGAAAGAAAUGGCUCUGGUUAAUACCUGGGGUCGAUGACGGUACCGGAAGAAUAAGGACCGGCUAACUACGUGCCAGCCGCCGCUGUAAUAC